rnacentral:piRNA from 1 species
GGAGAGAGGAUAAGUGUCUGCUUGCC